rnacentral:rRNA from 1 species
UGCUGGAGGUAUCAGAAGUGCGAAUGCUGACAUAAGUAACGAUAAAGCGGGUGAAAAGCCCGCUCGCCGGAAGACCAAGGGUUCCUGUCCAACGUUAAUCGGGGCAGGGUGAGUCGACCCCUAAGGCGAGGCCGAAAGGCGUAGUCGAUGGGAAACGGGUUAAUAUUCCCGUACUUGGUGUUACUGCGAAGGGGGGACGGAGAAGGCUAUGUUGGCCGGGCGACGGUUGUCCCGGUUUAAGCGUGUAGGUGUGUGUUCCAGGUAAAUCCGGUUCACUUUAACACUGAGGCGUGACGACGAGGCACUACGGUGCUGAAGCAACAAAUGCCCUGCUUCCAGGAAAAGCCUCUAAGCAUCAGGUAACAUCAAAUCGUACCCCAAACCGACACAGGUGGUCAGGUAGAGAAUACCAAGGCGCUUGAGAGAACUCGGGUGAAGGAACUAGGCAAAAUGGUGCCGUAACUUCGGGAGAAGGCACGCUGACACGUAGGUGAAGUGAUUUACUCAUGGAGCUGAAGUCAGUCGAAGAUACCAGCUGGCUGCAACUGUUUAUUAAAAACACAGCACUGUGCAAACACGAAAGUGGACGUAUACGGUGUGACGCCUGCCCGGUGCCGGAAGGUUAAUUGAUGGGGUCAGCGCAAGCGAAGCUCCUGAUCGAAGCCCCGGUAAACGGCGGCCGUAACUAUAACGGUCCUAAGGUAGCGAAAUUCCUUGUCGGGUAAGUUCCGACCUGCACGAAUGGCGUAAUGAUGGCCAGGCUGUCUCCACCCGAGACUCAGUGAAAUUGAACUCGCUGUGAAGAUGCAGUGUACCCGCGGCAAGACGGAAAGACCCCGUGAACCUUUACUAUAGCUUGACACUGAACAUUGAGCCUUGAUGUGUAGGAUAGGUGGGAGGCUUUGAAGUGUGGACGCCAGUCUGCAUGGAGCCGACCUUGAAAUACCACCCUUUAAUGUUUGAUGUUCUAACGUGGACCCGUUACCCGGGUUGCGGACAGUGUCUGGUGGGUAGUUUGACUGGGGCGGUCUCCUCCUAAAGAGUAACGGAGGAGCACGAAGGUUGGCUAAUCCUGGUCGGACAUCAGGAGGUUAGUGCAAUGGCAUAAGCCAGCUUGACUGCGAGCGUGACGGCGCGAGCAGGUGCGAAAGCAGGUCAUAGUGAUCCGGUGGUUCUGAAUGGAAGGGCCAUCGCUCAACGGAUAAAAGGUACUCCGGGGAUAACAGGCUGAUACCGCCCAAGAGUUCAUAUCGACGGCGGUGUUUGGCACCUCGAUGUCGGCUCAUCACAUCCUGGGGCUGAAGUAGGUCCCAAGGGUAUGGCUGUUCGCCAUUUAAAGUGGUACGCGAGCUGGGUUUAGAACGUCGUGAGACAGUUCGGUCCCUAUCUGCCGUGGGCGCUGGAGAACUGAGGGGGGCUGCUCCUAGUACGAGAGGACCGGAGUGGACGCAUCACUGGUGUUCGGGUUGUCAUGCCAAUGGCACUGCCCGGUAGCUAAAUGCGGAAGAGAUAAGUGCUGAAAGCAUCUAAGCACGAAACUUGCCCCGAGAUGAGUUCUCCCUGAGACUUAGAGUCUCCUGAAGGAACGUUGAAGACGACGACGUUGAUAGGCCG